GAUCAUGGCUCAGGAUGAACGCUAGCUACAGGCUUAACACAUGCAAGUCGAGGGGCAUCAUGAUCAAAGUUGCUUGAUUGAUGGCGACCGGCGCACGGGUGAGUAACGCGUAUCCAACCUUCCCCCCAGUAGGGCAUAGCCCGGCGAAAGUCGGAUUAAUACCCUAUGUUUUCCAAUGAGGACAUCUGAGCUGGAACAAAGAUUUAUCGCUGGGGGAUGGGGAUGCGUCCGAUUAGGUUGUUGGCGGGGUAACGGCCCACCAAGCCCGCGAUCGGUAGGGUUCUGAGAGGAAGGUCCCCCACACUGGUACUGAGACACGGACCAGACUCCUACGGGAGGCAGCAGUGAGGAAUAUUGGUCAAUGGGCGUAAGCCUGAACCAGCCAAGUAGCGUGCAGGACGACGGCCCUAUGGGUUGUAAACUGCUUUUAUGCGGGGAUAAAGUGAGGUAUGUAUACCUUUUUGUAGGUACCGCAUGAAUAAGGACCGGCUAAUUCCGUGCCAGCCGCUGC
rnacentral:rRNA from 1 species